GGAGCUUGUCCACUACUAGUUUUCAGAGAAAGCUCAGACAUAUUUCAACAUUGGAAGAGCUGCACGAGCCUCUCAGACUGUUCCUCAUACUUCAGGCUCGAUGAGUUAUGCUAGGCGUAGAGCUGAAUUCAUGGAUGAUAAUGGGAGGGAGCCUGGUAAGAUGGAGUUUUAUAAGAUGACUCACACCCACCGAGAUGGUAGUUUUGUUCGGGAGGAGGCAAGAGAUAUAGUUGUAUGUAUUCAUCUUUGAAUCUUUCAACGAUAUUAUUAUUAGUUCUAUUAUUGCCAUACAUUAAUAUGACCUUUUCUUUUGUGCAUUAUAGG